UACGGGGGGAGCAAGCGUUGUUCGGAUUUACUGGGCGUAAAGGGCGCGUAGGCGGUCGUGACAAGUCACUUGUGAAAUCUCCGGGCUUAACUCGGAAAGGUCAACUGAUACUGUGCGACUAGAGUGCAGAAGGGGCAACUGGAAUUCUCGGUGUAGCGGUGAAAUGCGUAGAUAUCGAGAGGAACACCUGCGGCGAAGGCGGGUUGCUGGGCUGAUACUGACGCUGAGGCGCGAAAGCCAGGGGAGCGAACGGG
rnacentral:rRNA from 1 species